rnacentral:rRNA from 1 species
GUGUCAGCAGCCGCGGUAAUACGUAGGGGGCGAGCGUUGUCCGGAAUUACUGGGUGUAAAGGGCGCGCAGGCGGUUUCAUAAGUCAGGUGUGAAAGCCCGGGGCGCAACUCCGGAUAUGCACUUGAAACUGUGAGACUAGAGUGUGAGAGAGGGUAGUGGAAUUCCCAGUGUAGCGGUGAAAUGCGUAGAUAUUGGGAGGAACACCAGUGGCGAAGGCGACUACCUGGACGAUAACUGACGCUGAGGCACGAAAGCUAGGGGAGCAAACAGGAUUAGAUACCCUGGUAGUCCUAGCCGUAAACGAUGGGUACUAGGUGUGGGUGGUUUCGAUACCCUCCGUGCCGUAGUUAACGCAUUAAGUACCCCGCCUGGGGAGUACGUGCGCAAGCCUGAAACUCAAAGGAAUUGGCGG